rnacentral:rRNA from 1 species
GGGUGAGUAACACGUGAGUAACCUGCCCUAGGCUUUGGGAUAACCCCGGGAAACCGGGGCUAAUACCGGAUAUGACUGGCUGCCGCAUGGUGGUUGGUGGAAAGAUUUUUCGGCUUGGGAUGGACUCGCGGCCUAUCAGCUUGUUGGUGGGGUAAUGGCCUACCAAGGCGGCGACGGGUAGCCGGCCUGAGAGGGCGACCGGCCACACUGGGACUGAGACACGGCCCAGACUCCUACGGGAGGCAGCAGUGGGGAAUCUUGCACAAUGGGCGGAAGCCUGAUGCAGCGACGCCGCGUGAGGGAUGACGGCCUUCGGGUUGUAAACCUCUUUCAGCAGGGACGAAGCGUUUGUGACGGUACCUGCAGAAGAAGCGCCGGCCAACUACGUGCCAGCAGCCGCGGUAAGACGUAGGGCGCGAGCGUUGUCCGGAUUUAUUGGGCGUAAAGAGCUCGUAGGCGGCUUGUCGCGUCGACUGUGAAAACCCGUGGCUCAACUGCGGGCUUGCAGUC